rnacentral:rRNA from 1 species
UACGUAGGGCGCAAGCGUUGUCCGGAAUUAUUGGGCGUAAAGAGCUCGUAGGCGGCUUGUCACGUCGGGUGUGAAAGCCCGGGGCUUAACCCCGGGUCUGCAUUCGAUACGGGCUGGCUAGAGUGUGGUAGGGGAGAUCGGAAUUCCUGGUGUAGCGGUGAAAUGCGUAGAUAUCUGGAGGAACACCGGUGGCGAAGGCGGCAUCCUGGACCAUUACUGACACUGAAAAGCGAAAGCCAGGGGAGCAAACGGG